rnacentral:rRNA from 1 species
AUGAUCGUACUGAAACUUGAUUUUCAAAAGGCCUUCGACAGUGUAAGUUGGGAUGCACUGCUCCAAAUCUUUCAGGCAAGGGGUUUUGGGAGCCGUUGGAACCACUGGAUUUCUAACAUUUUCACGUCAAGCUCCUCUCAAGUCCUUCUUAAUGGUCAGAUUGGGGAGAAGAUACAAUCCAAAUGUGGCCUCAGGCAGGGGGAUGCACUGUCACCUUAUCUUUUCAUACUAGUUGCUGAUGUUCUACAAAGGUGUUGUGAUAGAGAGCAUCAAGCUGGCCUUCUCAAACAUCCGCUCGGAGGGGAGGGACCGUUCCCCGUCCUACAGUACGCGGACGACACUCUCCUACUGAUACAAGGGGAUACACAGCAAGUUGGCAUCAUCAAGAGGAUUCUUCAAUCUUUUUCAAGCUUCACCAGCCUCUCAAUUAAUUUCCAGAAGAGUUCCUUCAUCCCUAUUUGCGUCGACCCGGCAGUUUGUCAACAGAUUGCUCAAAUUCUACAGUGUCAACCGUCUGCCUUCCCGUGCACCUAUCUUGGACUGCCCCUCUCAACGCACAAGAUCACACACGGGCUGCUAAUGCCUGUUAUUCACAAAGUGGACAAACGCCUUCAGGUUGGCUGGCCACUUUCCUUUCUUGGGGAGGACGGCUAA